GACGAACGCUGGCGGCGUGCUUAACACAUGCAAGUCGAGCGAUGAAGCUCCUUCGGGAGUGGAUUAGCGGCGGACGGGUGAGUAACACGUGGGUAACCUGCCUCAUAGAGGGGAAUAGCCUUUCGAAAGGAAGAUUAAUACCGCAUAAGAUUGUAGCUUCGCAUGAAGUAGCAAUUAAAGGAGUAAUCCGCUAUGAGAUGGACCCGCGUCGCAUUAGCUAGUUGGUGAGGUAACGGCUCACCAAGGCGACGAUGCGUAGCCGACCUGAGAGGUGAUCGGCCACAUUGGGACUGAGACACGGCCCAGACUCCUACGGGAGGCAGCAGUGGGGAAUAUUGCACAAUGGGGGAAACCCUGAUGCAGCAACGCCGCGUGAGUGAUGACGGUCUUCGGAUUGUAAGGCUCUGUCUUCAGGGACGAUAAUGACGGUACCUGAGGAGGAAGCCACGGCUAACUACGUGCCAGCAGCCGCCGUAA
rnacentral:rRNA from 1 species